rnacentral:rRNA from 1 species
UACGGGGGGGGGCAAGCGUUGUUCGGAAUUACUGGGCGUAAAGGGCUCGUAGGCGGCCAACUAAGUCAGACGUGAAAUCCCUCGGCUUAACCGGGGGGCUGCAUUUGAAACUGUGGGUCUUGAGUGAUGGAGAGGCAGGCGGAAUUCCCGGUGUCAGCGGUGAAAUGCAUAGAUAUCGGGAGGAACACCGAUUGCGAAGGCAGCUCGCUGGGACGUCGACUGACGCUGAGACGCGAAAGCGUGGGGAGCAACAGG